rnacentral:lncRNA from 1 species
UUUUAAUAAUGACGAUUCUCGUAUGAAGAGGCUUCAGUUAUCAAAUGUUGGUGGUAAUUUUAGUUAUGCCACUGUGAAAGCGUUGAUUGUUAAGUAGACAUAAAAAGUUUGAAGUAUGCACAAAGCCUGAAAGUGUCAAAUAUGGAACCUAAAAAAACCUGCCUAUGCCACUGACUGUAUAAAGGUUUUUUAAGGUCUGUUUGUCAAGCGUCAAGUUAGGUUAUCUUGCUACUGGUACCAUGUAGUACAUCCUGCUUAAGCAGGUUGUACGCCAUCCAUACGACGUUUGGGCAUCUGUUUGUAAAAUAUUGCUGCAAAUCUUUUUGAGAGAGCCAUUACUAUGGAGAACCAUCUAAACAAUACAAGUGUGGAAACACGGGUGUAAA